rnacentral:rRNA from 1 species
CCUACGGGAGGCAGCAGUGGGGAAUUUUGGACAAUGGGCGAAAGCCUGAUCCAGCCAUUCCGCGUGAGUGAAGAAGGCCUUCGGGUUGUAAAGCUCUUUCGCAAGGGAAGAAAACUUAGAUACUAAUAUUAUCUGAGGUUGACGGUACCUUGAUAAGAAGCACCGGCUAACUACGUGCCAGCAGCCGCGGUAAUACGUAGGGUGCGAGCGUUAAUCGGAAUUACUGGGCGUAAAGCGUGCGCAGGCGGUUUUGUAAGUCAGAUGUGAAAUCCCCGAGCUCAACUUGGGAACUGCGUUUGAAACUACAAGACUAGAAUAUGUCAGAGGGGGGUAGAAUUCCACGUGUAGCAGUGAAAUGCGUAGAGAUGUGGAGGAAUACCAAUGGCGAAGGCAGCCCCCUGGGAUAAUAUUGACGCUCAUGCACGAAAGCGUGGGGAGCAAACAGGAUUAGAUACCCUGGUAGUCCACGCCCUAAACGAUGUCUACUAGUUGUUGGUGGAGUAAAAUCCAUGAGUAACGCAGCUAACGCGUGAAGUAGACCGCCUGGGGAUACGGUCGCAAGNUUAAAACNCAAAGGAAUUGACGG